AUUGAACGCUGGCGGAAUGCUUUACACAUGCAAGUCGAACGGCAGCACGGACUUCGGUCUGGUGGCGAGUGGCGAACGGGUGAGUAAUACAUCGGAACGUGCCCAGUCGUGGGGGAUAACGUAGCGAAAGCUACGCUAAUACCGCAUACGAUCUAAGGAUGAAAGCGGGGGAUCGCAAGACCUCGCGCGAUUGGAGCGGCCGAUGGCAGAUUAGGUAGUUGGUAGGGUAAAGGCCUACCAAGCCGACGAUCUGUAGCUGGUCUGAGAGGAUGAUCAGACACACUGGGACUGAGACACGGCCCAGACUCCUACGGGAGGCAGCAGUGGGGAAUUUUGGACAAUGGGCGCAAGCCUGAUCCAGCCGUUCCGCGUGCAGGAUGAAGGCCUUCGGGUUGCAAACUGCUUUUGUACAGAACGAAAAGGCUCUGGUUAAUACCCGGGGCUCAUGACGGUACUGUAAGAAUAAGCACCGGCUAACUACGUGCCAGCCGCCGCGGUAA
rnacentral:rRNA from 1 species